GGGAAAAGCCUGGCUCUGAAGGAUGAUCUCUCCUGCCCAGACUGGCAUUCUGGCAUUCCGCCUUCUGCUGAAACCGAUGCUCAAGACCAGCAUUUGAUUUCAAGACAGGUCAAAAGCUGGGCCACAAAACCCACGUUGUCUGAGGGAGCAUGGCUGACCAAGAAGGAAGAGGAAGAAGCAUCUGCAGCUGAAUUUUGUCUCUUCUGGCUAGAACCCUUGUGAAAAAGAAGGAAGUCUGGGGCCAAGGCUUUCACCUGCUUGAGAGAGCUGGAAUCCUCUGCAAGACUUGUGGCCAAGUGUUGACAAACAAAGAAAAAUCAUCAGAUGAUGAAUACUCAGUAAGACUGCUCUGAACCCAACCUUGACCUAGCAAAAGCCAGAUGUAGGGAUGUAAGAUAUCUGGGGAAGACACCUCACUCAUUUAUGUUUCCUCUUGGUAUACUGCAAAUUGACCUUGAGUUUUUGAGCUUCUCCAUGGAAGAACUGCUUUGUUUUUUUCUGCCAGGGAAGACCCCAGGAUAUUCUCACUGGAGGAUUUAAACAAUGGUAAAGAGUUUUUUGAGCUUCCUCAGCUGUGCUCUGGGACAUGAGGACUAGGCUACAAAAGUCUUUGUGGUCUCUUCCAGGCCAAUUUUGUGCAAUUCAAGGAUUUUUGAGAUCAACCCAUUCAAAGUAUAUUUCUAAAUGUAAUUUGACACAAAUCUGCUUCUAUAUCUCUUCAGUACUGAAUAUACACUCAUGGAUUCUUUCUUUCAAAUCAUUUCAGUUUAUGUGCUUUCAAUUAAAAUGUUAUAAAACAUUUAUUGCUUCUUGCUGCAAAGCACCGAGGACGUUUACAUUUUAAAAGACACUCUCCAUACUGAAUUUGUGGUGCUUACUGCUGUAUUGCUUGCAGUCUUGCCUCCAGUUCUGUAUAUUUGCCAGCUGUUUCCAACACAGUCCUUGGAUUUCACUGAAUGUUCCCAUAUGGAUGCUUUCUGGAGCUGAAGCCACUGAGUUUGAGCUGUUUGUUAUUGAGGCAAUAUCGAGACUAGAGAUGAUCUGUAUUCCUAAUUACUAUGAGCUGAUGAAGAGUUUGGUGACAAAGGAAUCCCAUAAAAGGCAAAGAGCACAGUCCAGGGCUUUUGCCACAGCAUUUCCAUGUGGCCAUGUGAACUUGUAUCUUAGAUCCCAGUGGGGCAGCUAAUGAUCUCCUGCCUCAGAGGAGUUUCAUGAGGAUGAGAAUGUCAUGACCAGGGGCUGGCUCUGGUGGGACAGGGGUCAGGGGAUGUGGGUGGCUGAGCCAGCUGAUCAGUGCAUGAGUAAGAAGAAAUGCACAAAACAUGGACCCCAUGAGAAAUGUUGUAUUCCAUUCCCUCUAUAUUGCUUGCCUUUGUCCUAUUUUGAAUUAGUUAGGGCCAGGUUCUCAGAAAUAUUUAGUCAGAGAAUUCAUGAGAACUUUGAUGAGCUAGAUUUUACAUCUCAGUGUUGAAACCUUGCCACCUAAACACCUUUGAGUCUGAGCCUUCACUGGAGACAAAUAACAACAAAGAGACAUUUUUCCAUGAAAAAAAACAAACCUUUGACCAUUCUGGGAUCCCAUUCAACUCUUUUCUGACAGACACUCACCAUGAGCUUCAGCCACAAGUCCUCUAUGAAGAUUCAUUUGCACACAGGAUUCUGUAAAACUACAGGUACAAGCAUCAAUUGUCUUGAAAGUGCUUUUGUUACUUCUAGCUGUCAUUUUCUUGCCAAACCCACACCCUGAACUAUCCCAUCUAAUUAUACUCACUGGCCAUCUUCCCCCUUUUUAUUGGCAAUAUUUUUCUUGUUAAUUGUGCAUGCUUGGUUUUAAAGAAUGGUGCCUGCCUUUCCUUAUGUGACUCUGCAAGGAAUAUUUCUGUAUCCUGGGUAGUUUCUCUGACAUGUUUAUGUCUUUCUGGUUAGUGUAAAAAAUGCAAGACAUAUUAUGUACUGCAGAAAAUCAGGCAGGCACUCUACAGUUUUAACAUUGUGCCUUGUUGUAUAGUUAAAAUAAAUGUUCUUGGUAUCAGCUUUA